GACGAACGCUGGCGGCGUGCUUAACACAUGCAAGUCGAACGGAAAGGCCCUGCUUUUGUGGGGUGCUCGAGUGGCGAACGGGUGAGUAACACGUGAGUAACCUGCCCUUGACUUUGGGAUAACUUCAGAAAACUGGGGCUAAUACCGGAUAGGAGCUCCUGCUGCAUGGUGGGGGUUGGAAAGUUUCGGCGGUGGGGGAUGGACUCGCGGCUUAUCAGCUUGUUGGUGGGGUAGUGGCUUACCAAGGCUUUGACGGGUAGCCGGCCUGAGAGGGUGACCGGCCACAUUGGGACUGAGAUACGGCCCAGACUCCUACGGGAGGCAGCAGUGGGGAAUAUUGCACAAUGGGCGGAAGCCUGAUGCAGCAACGCCGCGUGCGGGAUGACGGCCUUCGGGUUGUAAACCGCUUUCGCCUGUGACGAAGCGUGAGUGACGGUAAUGGGUAAAGAAGCACCGGCUAACUACGUG
rnacentral:rRNA from 1 species